UCCCUCAGGAAAGUGGUUUUAGUGAGAGUCUGAAAAUCUAUUCUUCUUCAAUGCCACUUUUUGGUACAUUUCGUAUCUGAAUGAAUCUUGUACACUCCUUUUCAAUUUUCCCCGGGCCAUCUCAUUCAUUCCUACUUUGCUAAAGUCAGACCCUUGAUUUUGACUCCCAGGGAAAAGUACCAUGGGAAAUGUAAUUCGAAUUAUUGUACUCACUUUGGAAACCAAUGUUGGAAUGAAAACUGAUUGAUUCACAAUCUCCAUGGGCUAAAUUUCUUGCAAUUGUUUUAGGAAUGUACAGGGAGUCAUUCGGGUACAUUUUAAAAGUGUUAAUGAAGGCUCAAAGGAAAUCUGUAAAUGAUUGUCUCAAAUGGAUUGUGAAGUCUAAAGCAGAAUGGGGCUGAAGUGACGUAAUACAACAUCUUCAGAGGCUCACUUUAGGUAUCUUGUCAAAGCAAAGUCUAAUAACCAACUUGUAUGGGUGAUUAUCUGACUUUGUUAGUAACAAACAGUCUGUGGACCUCAUUACCGGAAUUUCUGCCACUUUGAUUUUUAUCACACAAUAUCUGCUGAUGACUUGCAAGGGCAGCCUUGUAACAACAUUAUUUCAGUAGGCAGAUAACUGCAGUCAUAAAUUCCUGCUCUAAUAGUUUAUUGCAAGUGGUACAGUGUUGACAGUGUUUCUGUUUUAUAGCUCCAUCCCUGGACUUCUGAGGAAACUCAAAGGCAUCAAUGUUUGUUUCUUCACAAAUCGUCUUGGGGCCCAGUGCACAAAGCAGUGAAAUCUAACAAUCCUUUGUUAAGGUUAAUGCUUGCAGCAUGUUGCAGACCUUUUUAAAUGCUGCACAUGAACAAUGACUAACUUGGUCCACUAGUGGACCAGAUUGGAAUGGUGGGUAUCAGGAGAUGGAAGGAAAUGGGCCAGGCUGGAGCAAGGACAAACAGCUCGAGAAAAGCGUUGAAGCUAAUGUCCAGAGGCAUCCUCACUUUCCACAGGGAAGAUUUCAUCAUAUGAAGGCGGUGGAAUGCUGUCGGGAACUUCAUCCACUGUUAACGUGUCUUGUAAAUCAUCGUGGGUUUCCUCUGCUCUGUGGGAAAUAUUACCAAUAUAAGUUUUGCAAGUUAGCAUUCGGAACUUGCAGACAGCAAUGAGAACAAACGUAACUCCCACCGAAAGUAGAAUUGGCCCCAGCAGCUGCGUCCAUUCCAAGUCACUGGUUCCAUAAUAUUUAAUCCAGCCCAUCACGGUGAAGGUUAUGCCGACCAGAACCAAAAAGACACCGGAAAAUAGCAGUGUGGCCCCGGCUUUGUCCCCAUCUGACACCUGGACUCUUGGAGCCUGAGACUGGCAGGGAGUCACAGAAAACACAUUCACAGAGAAAUCCUCCACAUUGCUGCUGCACUGCUCCAUUUGGCUCGCACAGUCUCUGCUGUGUGACCGUCCCGUGAAAGAAAAAGAGAUUGGACCGGUACAUAGUGUCUAAAGCACGGUGUCAUCAACAACAAAAUAGUGCGUUGUGGCAAGUUAAUGAUUAAUGUUACAAUAUUAAAAUUCUUAUACUGUGCAGAACUG